AUGAGUAGCUUAUACAUUAUAGAUAGAGGUUUACUAAUGUCUUUUUGAGCGGUAAUUAUUGAUUCCCACGGGGUUUCCCAGUGGUGUAACUAGUUGUUACUGGGCCCCAUAGCAAAUUCAAUUUAGGGCCCCAAAAUAUUUAUAAGUUGGCCUAUUUUACCAAGAUAUAUUAAAAUUGCAAACUAAUUAGGGUCUCACUGGGCCCCCUACACUCCUGGGCCCCCCUGCAACCGCAGGGUCUGCUUCCUCUAUAGUUACGCCCCUGGGGUUUCCGAUCUCUCCCAAUCUGAGCUCAAUCUAGAAUGUAUAAACCAUUGCAGUUGAGUAUAGUUCCAGCUCUGGGGUGUGAACCCCAUCUUUUUUGUUUCUAAUUAGGUCUCUUAUUUUGGUAGUUUUAGUGCACCAGUUCUCCCAUCUACUAAAGGCCCUGUACUCCAUACUUGGCUGGAACUCCGGAUUCUGUACUAAAGUUUGUAAUAUAUAUGGGGCUUUUGUUAACCCUUAUUCUAAUUUGUUUUUAUGCCAUAUUUUCAAAGUAGUGCCUACUAAGGUUGUAAUUGUUCAAUUGCCAUUUUGUCUCUCUCUGUCCAUAGAUUAUGGUCAAUGGGGUAUCCUACUAUAUCUUUCUCUAUUCACACCAUCUGUUGACUUAUUUCUGUUGCACCAAUCCCAAAUUCGUAAUAAGUGGACCUCUAUAUAAUAAAGGAAUAAAUCCCUUUUGGUCAGUAUGUAUUAAUUCCGGUUGCUGCCCAUGGCGAUCAAAUUCCCUCUAAGAACACAUUUCAGCGUUUCCCUGCCGACAUUUUUUUAAUUUCCCUCAGUCCUCUAUACGAUAUAGAUGACUUUUGGGAGGAUGAAUCUGAAAGUGGAUUAAGGGGCCAAUUCAUUAACUUCGAGUGAAGGAAUAGAAGAAAAAAUACUUCGAAUUUUGAAGUUUUUUUUGGCUACUUCGACCAUCGAAUGGGCUACUUCGACCUUC